rnacentral:lncRNA from 1 species
UGUGUGGCAUUGCACUUAAAAUCUUUUUUUUUUUUUACGGCAGUUGUGGCUUUACUGUUCUUAAACAAUAGAAACACUUGUUUAAAAAUCUGACUUGGUAGACAUAGUAAUACAAGAACGCCUACAUAAGGAGUGAGCAACUUGCCCACAGGAAGCAAACGAACCUUAAGUCAGUGGAUAUCAAAAAAUGCAUGAACAUAGGAUGAAGGACAACAAGAGGUCACAGUUAGUAGUGAGAGCACAAAUGAACAAUACAAAUGUCACAAGGCUUGCAAUAGAAGUGUUCGAACCUUA